rnacentral:rRNA from 1 species
UACGAAGGGGGCUAGCGUUGCUCGGAAUGACUGGGCGUAAAGGGCGCGUAGGCGGUUUGUACAGUUGGAUGCGAAAUUCCCGGGCUCAACCUGGGGGCUGCAUUCAAUACGUGCAGGCUUGAGUUCGGAAGAGGGUCGUGGAAUUCCCAGUGUAGAGGUGAAAUUCGUAGAUAUUGGGAAGAACACCGGUGGCGAAGGCGGCGACCUGGUCCGAUACUGACGCUGAGGCGCGAAAGCGUGGGGAGCAAACAGG